UGGACUGGUAGAGAGGCUUAAUGGCACAAUUCAGAGAACUUUGAGCAAGCUAGUGGAAAGAAAACCAAGCUCGUGGGCAGAUUAUUUGGAGGCCACGAUGUUUGGCUUGCGAACCAAAAAACAACUGACUACCAAAUUUUCUCCUUAUUUUUUGCUUUUUGCACGUGAGGCUAGGUAUCCAUGUGAGGUACCAGACAAAUAUGAGAUCAACGAAAGUGUUGAGGAAUUGAUAGCAGAGGAGUUCAUUUCUGAAUGUGUGAAAUGACAGGACCGCCUUUACCAGGUUAAGGAAAAUAUGGCACAGGAUCACGCUAAAAUUUAAAAAAAGAAAGCUCCAAGGAA